rnacentral:rRNA from 1 species
UACGUAGGGCGCAAGCGUUGUCCGGAAUUAUUGGGCGUAAAGAGCUCGUAGGCGGUUUGUCGCGUCUGCUGUGAAAACGCGAGGCUUAACCUCGCGCCUGCAGUGGGUACGGGCAGACUAGAGUGCGGUAGGGGAGACUGGAAUUCCUGGUGUAGCGGUGGAAUGCGCAGAUAUCAGGAGGAACACCGGUGGCGAAGGCGGGUCUCUGGGCCGUUACUGACGCUGAGGAGCGAAAGCAUGGGGAGCGAACAGGAUUAGAUACCCCCGUAGUCC